UACGUAGGGUGCGAGCGUUGUCCGGAAUUAUUGGGCGUAAAGGGCUCGUAGGCGGUUUUGUCGCGUCGGGAGUGAAAUCCACUGGCUUAACUGGUGGCUUGCUUUCGAUACGGGCAGACUGGAGGUAUGCAGGGGAGAACGGAAUUCCUGGUGUAGCGGUGAAAUGCGGCAGAUAUCAAGAGGAACACCUGAGGUGAAGACGGGUUGCUGGGCCAACACUGACGCUGAUGCG
rnacentral:rRNA from 1 species